AAAAUGAAAAUGAAUCCCUGACCUGGUCAUACCUCUGACUAGGUUUUCUACUCCUGUGCAUUUUCUCCAGUUGGGGGAUUCUGUGAAUUAGUGGGUCUCAGGGAGAGCCAAGCAUGAGGCCAGAGCUGCCUGGAAGCUUGUCAAGUGAUACACCAGGGGAGAUUUGCCUCUUGUCUUCCCUUCCAGGGACUUGGUCUCUAGCCCUGACCAUCCUCGCCUUCCUUUGGAGAAGGCUCCUCCUAAGACUCAUGGUAAAGUAAGACAUGCUCCUCCAGAUCUGACUCCCACUGCACAGGCCCCAGAGACCAGCCUGGAUGAGAAACAAGAAUGCCCUCCUGACUUUCCAGAGCUCCCCCUCCUCACAGCUGGGUACUGGGGCCUGUCCAUGGAAGGAGCCAUCUGGGCACACCAGGAAGGGUGGCUGUUCAUAAUCCUGCAUCUGAGUAUUCUGUCCAGUUAGUGAAGCUGGGCUCCUCCAUGGGAACCCUCACGUGUCUGUCCUCCCAGGCACCUGACUCUGAGGGAGACCUGCUGUCUCCACCAAGGGGCAGACUCCUGGUUUGUGUCCUGAAGCUGCUUUACAUGUUCAUACUUCUGGCUCCUUUGGUGUAACUCAUUGCUGGUGAAAACUUGGCACAUUCCACAUUUCUAUCCAAGUAACUGCUUUGUUUUAAAUUUUGGGACAUCUUGAAAAUCAAGUGUUAAAAUGAGUGUGAGUGUGUGUGUGUGUGUGUGUGUGUGUGUGUGUGUGUGUUUGUGCUUGAAAGAGCAUAUGGGAAAAUCCCUUCCCCUUGGCUAUUGAUAAUUCUUCUGAGGCAC